rnacentral:rRNA from 1 species
UCAAACCGGCGUGAGCCAGGUUGGUUUCUAUCCUUAAAUAAUUAAAAUAUUUUAGUACGAAAGGAUUAAAUAUUUAAAAUAUUUUUUAAAAAAAGAAUAAAAUUAAU